rnacentral:rRNA from 1 species
AAACUCCCCAUAAACCAUCGCGAACGUACCGUUUACCGUUGCUUCGGCGGGCGGCUCCAGGGCGGAGCCGUAGCCUUCACGGGCGCCCGCCGAAAGGGACAAUAACAAACCCUUAUUAUUAUUGGCCUCUCUGAGUAAGAUUUAUAAAUAAGUCAAAACUUUCAACAACGGAUCUCUUGGUUCUGGCAUCGAUGAAGAACGCAGCGAAAUGCGAUAAGUAAUGUGAAUUGCAGAAUUCAGUGAAUCAUCGAAUCUUUGAACGCACAUUGCGCCCGCUAGUAUUCUGGCGGGCAUGCCUGUUCGAGCGUCAUUUCAACCAUCAAGCCCAGCUUGUGUUGGGGUCCUGCGGCUGCCCGCAGGCCCUGAAAUCUAGUGGCGGGCUCGCUAGUCACUCCGAGCGCAGUAAUACAUCUCGCUCAGGGCGUGCGGCGGGUUCUUGCCGUUAACACCACACUUUUAUCAAGGUUGACCUCGGAUCAGGUAGGAAUACCCGCUGAACUUAAGCAUAUCAAUAAGCGGAGGA